rnacentral:rRNA from 1 species
AUUGAACGCUGGCGGCAGGCCUAACACAUGCAAGUCGAACGGCAGCACAGAAGAGCUUGCUCUUUGGGUGGCGAGUGGCGGACGGGUGAGUAAUGUCUGGGAAACUGCCCGAUGGAGGGGGAUAACUACUGGAAACGGUAGCUAAUACCGCAUAACGUCGCGAGACCAAAGUGGGGGACCUUCGGGCCUCACACCAUCGGAUGUGCCCAGAUGGGAUUAGCUAGUAGGUGGGGUAAUGGCUCACCUAGGCGACGAUCCCUAGCUGGUCUGAGAGGAUGACCAGCCACACUGGAACUGAGACACGGUCCAGACUCCUACGGGAGGCAGCAGUGGGGAAUAUUGCACAAUGGGCGCAAGCCUGAUGCAGCCAUGCCGCGUGUAUGAAGAAGGCCUUCGGGUUGUAAAGUACUUUCAGCGGGGAGGAAGGCGGUGAGGUUAAUAACCUUGCCGAUUGACGUUACCCGCAGAAGAAGCACCGGCUAACUCCGUGCCAGCAGCCCGCGGUAA